rnacentral:rRNA from 1 species
GGGGGAUAUUGCACAAUGGAGGAAACUCUGAUGCAGCAACGCCGCGUGAGGGAAGAAGGUCUUCGGAUUGUAAACCUUUGUCCUUGGUGACGAAACAAAUGACGGUAGCCAAGGAGGAAGCUCCGGCUAACUACGUGCCAGCAGCCGCGGUAAUACGUAGGGAGCAAGCGUUGUCCGGAUUUACUGGGUGUAAAGGGUGCGUAGGCGGCUCUGCAAGUCAGGCGUGAAAUAUAUGGGCUUAACCCAUAGACUGCGUUUGAAACUGUGGAGCUUGAGUGAAGUAGAGGUAGGCGGAAUUCCCGGUGUAGCGGUGAAAUGCGUAGAGAUCGGGAGGAACACCAGUGGCGAAGGCGGUCUGCUGGGCUUUAACUGACGCUGAGGCACGAAAGCAUGGGUAGCAAAC